CAACAGCUUAAAACUCAAAGGACUUGGCGGUGCUUUACAUCCCUCUAGAGGAGCCUGUUCUAUAAUCGAUAAACCCCGAUAAACCUCACCAUCUCUUGCUAAUUCAGCCUAUAUACCGCCAUCUUCAGCAAACCCUAAAAAGGAAGAAAAGUAAGCACAAGUGUCUUAACACAAAAAAGUUAGGUCAAGGUGUAGCCUAUGAGAUGGGAAGCAAUGGGCUACAUUUUCUACAAUUAGAACACCCACGAAAAUCCUUAUGAAACUAAGCAUUCAAGGAGGAUUUAGCAGUAAAUUUGAGAAUAGAGAGCUCAAUUGAAUCGGGCCAUGAAGCACGCACACACCGCCCGUCACCCUCCUCAAGUGACUAGCCCCUAAAGAAACCUAUUCAAACCGCUACAUCCACAAGAGGAGACAAGUCGUAACAAGGUAAGCAUACUGGAAAGUGUGCUUGGAUGA
rnacentral:rRNA from 1 species